CGCCUCCAUGAAGUUGGAUUCGCUAGUAAUCGCGCAUCAGCCAUGGCGCGGUGAAUACGUUCCCGGGCCUUGUACACACCGCCCGUCAAGCCAUGGGAGCCGGGGGUGCCUGAAGUUCGUUACCGCAAGGAUCGACCUAGGGCAAAACUGGUGACUGGGGCUAAGUCGUAACAAGGUAAC
rnacentral:rRNA from 1 species